rnacentral:rRNA from 1 species
GACGGGUGAGUAACGCGUGGGUGACCUGCCCCAUACCGGGGGAUAACAGCUGGAAACGGCUGCUAAUACCGCAUAAGCGCACAGAGCUGCAUGGCUCGGUGUGAAAAACUCCGGUGGUAUGGGAUGGGCCCGCGUCUGAUUGGCAGUUGGCGGGGUAACGGCCCACCAAACCGACGAUCAGUAGCCGGCCUGAGAGGGCGACCGGCCACAUUGGGACUGAGACACGGCCCAAACUCCUACGGGAGGCAGCAGUGGGGAAUAUUGCACAAUGGGGGAAACCCUGAUGCAGCGACGCCGCGUGAGCGAAGAAGUAUUUCGGUAUGUAAAGCUCUAUCAGCAGGGAAGAUAAUGACGGUACCUGACUAAGAAGCCCCGGCUAACUACGUGCCAGCAGCCGCGGUAAUACGUAGGGGGCAAGCGUUAUCCGGAUUUACUGGGUGUAAAGGGAGCGUAGACGGCAAGGCAAGUCUGAUGUGAAAACCCAGGGCUUAACCCUGGGACUGCAUUGGAAACUGUCUGGCUCGAGUGCCGGAGAGGUAAGCGGAAUUCCUAGUGUAGCGGUGAAAUGCGUAGAUAUUAGGAAGAACACCAGUGGCGAAGGCGGCUUACUGGACGGUAACUGACGUUGAGGCUCGAAAGCGUGGGGAGCAAACAGGAUUAGAUACCCUGGUAGUCCACGCCGUAAACGACCAAUAAUGGGUGUUGGGGAGCAAAGCUCUUCGGUGCCGCCGCAAACGCAUAAGCAUUCCACCUGGGGAGUACGUUCGCAAGAAUGAAACUCAAAGGAAUUGACGGGGACCCGCACAACCGGCGGAGCAUGUGGUUUAAUUCGAAGCAACGCGAAGAACCUUACCAGGUCUUGACAUCCCGAUGACCGGCCCGUAACGGGGCCUUCUCUUCGGAGCAUUGGAGACAGGUGGUGCAUGGUUGUCGUCAGCUCGUGUCGUGAGAUGUUGGGUUAAGUCCCGCAACGAGCGCAACCCUUAUCCUCAGUAGCCAGCAGGUCAAGCUGGGCACUCUGUGGAGACUGCCAGGGAUAACCUGGAGGAAGGUGGGGAUGACGUCAAAUCAUCAUGCCCCUUAUGAUCUGGGCUACACACGUGCUACAAUGGCGUAAACAAAGGGAGGCAAAGCCGCGAGGUGGAGCAAAUCCCAAAAAUAACGUCUCAGUUCGGACUGCAGUCUGCAACUCGACUGCACGAAGCUGGAAUCGCUAGUAAUCGCGAAUCAGAAUGUCGCGGUGAAUAAAAUCCCGGGUCUUGCACA